rnacentral:misc_RNA from 1 species
AACCAUAGAAACCUGCGGAGUACCUGCGGAGGGAUCAUUAAUAGAGUAAAAAACCUCUAAAACCCCAUGUUUACUUUUACCUUUUUGUUGCUUGGGCGGGUCGUUAAAAGAAAAAAAGCCUUUUAGACUUUUUUUUUUUUCCAUCCGGCUUUUUAAAGCUGAUGAGUUUACCCGUCAAAGGAUAUAUAAACUCUUUGAAAUUUUUUAAUAUUGUCUGAUUUUUUAUAUAAUUAAGUUAAA